rnacentral:rRNA from 1 species
AUUGAACGCUGGCGGCAUGCCUUACACAUGCAAGUCGAACGGCAGCGCGGGAGCAAUCCUGGCGGCGAGUGGCGAACGGGUGAGUAAUACAUCGGAACGUGCCCAAUCGUGGGGGAUAACGCAGCGAAAGCUGUGCUAAUACCGCAUACGAUCUACGGAUGAAAGCAGGGGAUCGCAAGACCUUGCGCGAAUGGAGCGGCCGAUGGCAGAUUAGGUAGUUGGUGAGGUAAAGGCUCACCAAGCCUUCGAUCUGUAGCUGGUCUGAGAGGACGACCAGCCACACUGGGACUGAGACACGGCCCAGACUCCUACGGGAGGCAGCAGUGGGAAUUUUGGACAAUGGGCGAAAGCCCUGAUCCAGCCAUGCCGCGUGCAGGAUGAAGGCC